GGAAAAAUAUGGAGAGGAAAAAAUGGAUAUCCCAGCUCAAAGUGAGAAAACUUGACCUUCCUCAACCUUCUGUUUUAUUGGGGCUUUCAUGAGGCCCCAUGAUGGCUGGCAUUAUAUCAACCCACCUGCUUCUGGAAGAGAAAAAAUCAGAUUCACUCAACCUGCAGAUUGCUGUCAGCUUGUGAUUAUGUGAAUGAACUAUGUUGCAAAACUCUUUUCCCAGGAGUUACACUUUGCUGGAAUACAAAUGAGAAGGCUCUCUUGGAAAUGGCUUUGAAGGGAAAAAGGAGAUUGUCAGCAAAAGAUGUCAAAUGUUUGCCAAAUAACAGAAAACACCUCUGUUGCCUAACCAAAAUAUGAAAUUCUAACUCAGAAGCCUCAAGACACAUUCUGUGUUGCUGAACAGCUUUGGAGCACAGCCCCUGAAGAUAAAACAAACGUCUUGACUCAGAGAUGAAGGGAGACCCUGGAAGUAUAAGAUAAUUUACAUGGGGCUCUACUCACUUUAU